rnacentral:rRNA from 1 species
AUAGCGUAUAUUAAAGUUGCUGCAGUUAAAAAGCUCGUAGUUGGAUUUCUGGCUUGAAACAUUAUGCCGGCCACGGUUUCGUGUGUCAGUGCAUGAUGUUCUGGCCAUCCUUCCAAUCGCUAUUGGCUUAUCUUCAUUGAUAGGUCAGUAGUAUUGGAUCUUUUACUUUGAAAAAAUUAGAGUGUUUCAAGCAGGCUUUAUGCUAUGAAUACAUUAGCAUGGAAUAAUAAUUUAGGACUUCGGUUCUAUUUUGUUGGUUUCUAGGACUGAAGUAAUGAUUGAUAGGGAUAGUUGGGGGUGCUAGUAUUCAGCGGCCAGAGGUGAAAUUCUCGGAUUCGCUGAAGACUAACUUAUG